UGCCCAUCUAAUCUAUACUAUACUAAAAGGAAAAUAAGAAGCCUUUUUAGCUAUGCCACAUCAGAUCAGAAAAUCAACCAAUGAGGUUGGAGCAAUGGGACAUGUCAUCUGUUUAUGAUAUUGAUUUGGGCUUCGUAUUUGAUUUUUGACUUUUUAUUUUACCGUUCUUUAUUUUGUUUAGGGCUUCUUCUCUUGCCUUUGUCGACUGAUUCUAUCUUCUAUUUUGGAUGAUCAUGCCUUUCUUCUCUUACCUUUCGACUUCCGUACCUUCCCUUGCUCUUCUCUUCAAAUCCAUUUUAAUGCAUAUUUUCACCACUAACUGCUCUAAUCAAACCUUGCGUGAUCUCAUUCAAUGGAUUCUUUUCAUCUUCCUCUCUAUUUGUCUAUUUACAAAUCUCAUUCUCUUGACUUAUGUGUGGAUUAAAAUUGAAAAGCUUCUCUCAGACAAUCAUCCCAACCUAAAGGAAACUCUUCAAUCUCCAGCGACCGCAAGACCAACGAGAAGACCGUCGCCUCCUCCGAGACUGCGAGACCAAACGGGAAGUCCACCGCUUCCUCCGCCAUUGUGAUGAAACCAAACGCUUCUACCGCUCUGUCCAAAUCCGAAUCGGACCAUCGAUUGCAUAGAGUUUUAGAUAUGCUGGAGCGUUGCCGUGGCUGUGUAACUUACGUUGUAGCUCUGAAUCGGCCUAAAAAAAAGAAACAGAGGAAGAGUAACAGCAACAGGGGUUCUGGCGGAGUAACAGAAGCAGCCGUGGAGAGGCGGAGUGGAGACCAAGGACGAGAUUAGCGGCGAGAAAUUUGAAAGAUGAUCAUUUACGCAUAUUUUUGGUUUAAUAUUUUUGGUUUAUGCUCAUUAAGGUGAUGAUUAAUGAUAUGUCUCUUAUCAGGUCCAAGUUGGAGGAUCACCGUUGUAUAAGGUAAAGAGAAAUCGGGGGGAAGGUGGUCUUGGACAAGUGUUUGUUGGAUCACCGUUGUAUAAGGUUCGACAUGAUACUGUCAGUCCAGAAAUAUUUGAAACAGAAAGGUAAGCAAGUGCACUCAGGCAAGGGAUUCAAAUGUAAAUCAUCCUUGCUAGGAGAGACCAGAGACCAUGAAAGAAAAGAGACCCAUUAAAAUUGUGCAGACACUCCAGGGACUGAGGUUGCUGUGGAGAUUGCUGCAGCCAUGGCUUCAAAAAUAUGCAAAGCAGCUGUUCAAUUUUGCAGACACGUACAUUGUACUGGAAGCUCAUAAGUCUUACAAUUCAACAUGGUACGGGAACAAGCCACUAUGGGCAGCUUCGAAAUCACAGAAACUGAAGAUCAGUAUUAUUCUCUCUGGAGGUCAAGCACCUGGUGGGCACACUGUCAUAUAUGGACCAUUUGGAGCGUGAUAAAGAAAGUACAUUUUACGGAUUUAAAGAUGGUCCAGUUGGGAUCAGGAAAUGCAAAUAGGUUGUCUUGAAUGCAGAAUACAUUCAGCGUUAAAGGAACCAUGUAUUUGGACUGUGUUAAUAUAUGAGAUCUUUGCCAAAAACUUUGUGAAAGAUUGAGAUUCUACAAUUUUUCAUCAUCAUUUAGAACUGUUUGAUGUAGACAUUCCGGUACUCAAGCAUGUGUAUAGAGCUGCAACUUAACUUUCUUA